rnacentral:rRNA from 1 species
UACGUAGGGUGCGAGCGUUGUCCGGAAUUAUUGGGCGUAAAGAGCUUGUAGGCGGUUUGUCGCGUCUGCUGUGAAAAUCCGGGGCUCAACCCCGGACUUGCAGUGGGUACGGGCAGACUAGAGUGUGGUAGGGGAGACUGGUAUUCCUGGUGGAGCGGUGAAAUGCGCAGAUAUCAGGAGGAACACCGAUGGCGAAGGCAGGUCUCUGGGCCACUACUGACGCUGAGAAGCGAAAGCAUGGGGAGCGAACAGG